AGAUCGGGAGGCUUUCAUUGGGAAGAAAGCCAGGAAUUGAUCGAGCUAAGCUAUCUCUUAUGGGCGUGCCGCCGGGACCCGACGGUUGGCGCA
ncrna:unclassified sequences Rhodo-rpoB RNA